GCAUCAUAGUUGAGGCAUAGGAUUAACUAGGCCUACAUCAUUUUUCAGCAUUCAACAUUGUUUAUUUGAAAUAUCCAUCCCUCAUCACUGCUGUGACAAUGGAGUUCCAGAGCUGCAAAGACAAAGCACUCGUCACCCAUCUAAGGUCUGUAUGUGACCAUCUGGAAAAGACAUGGGAACAAAUAGGUUGUAGGGGCAACUGGAGUCUCUCUCUCUCUCUCUCUCUCUCAAAUGCCUCCCAGACCUGGUGGUGUCUGUGACAGGCCCUCUCCUGGUGAGCUAGCUUCCAUGAUGAAUGGCCACCUUUCCACUCUUUAUCGCCCCACUAAAUCAUGCGCUUACCAUGCUUUUAUGACCAAUUGUCACUGCUUUGUUUUACUUUCCCCCCCAUUUUUUUGACCGAAAGUCCAAAGGCUGUGGCUUCAUUUUUUUCUUAUGUGUAUCACAUUAAUCUUUGAGGGUUUAUCAUUGCAUUGGUAUUCAGUUGGAGAUUUGAGAGCUACCUUUGUUAAUAAAAUUCACUGAGACAAA